UGGGGAAUCUUGCACAAUGGGGGAAACCCUGAUGCAGCGACGCCGCGUGAACGAUGAAGCCUUUCGGGGUGUAAAGUUCUUUCGACAGGAACGAUAAUGACGGUACCUGGAGAAGAAGCUGCGGCUAACUACGUGCCAGCAGCCGCGGUAAUACGUAGGCAGCGAGCGUUGUUCGGAGUUACUGGGCGUAAAGAUGGCGUAGGCGGCGAGCCAAGUUUGGUGUGAAAUCUCCCGGCUUAACCGGGAGGGUGCGCCGAAAACUGGUUGGCUGGAGUAUGGGAGAGGAAAGCGGAAUUCCCGGUGUAGCGGUGAAAUGCGUAGAUAUCAGGAGGAACACCUGCGGUGUAGACAGCUUUCUGGACCAAAACUGACGCUGAGGCACGAAAGCGUGGGUAGCAAACA
rnacentral:rRNA from 1 species